rnacentral:rRNA from 1 species
UUCGCAAUGCCCGAAAGGGUGACGAAGCGACGCCGCGUGUGGGAAGAAGGCCUUCGGGUUGUAAACCACUGUUGGGAGUUAGGAAGUGUGGAGGUGUUAAUAGCGCUUUCACUUGACUAAAGCUCCAGAGGAAGCCACGGCUAACUCUGUGCCAGCAGCCGCGGUAAUACAGAGGCGGCAAGCGUUGUUCGGAAUUAUUGGGCGUAAAGAGCACGUAGGCGGCUCUGCAAGUCAGCUGUGAAAGCCUUCUGCUUAACGGAAGAACGGCAGUUGAAACUACAGGGCUUGAGUGCGGGAGGGGAGAGUGGAACUUCUGGUGGAGCGGUGAAAUGCGUGGAUAUCAGAAGGAACGCCGGCGGCGAAAGCGGCUCUCUGGUCCGUAACUGACGCUGAGUGUGCGAAAGCUAGGGGAGCAAACGGGAUUAGAUACCCCGGUAGUCCUAGCCGUAAACGAUGGGCACUAAGUAGAGGGGUUUU